GUACCUGGUAAUAACGCAACAGAUCCGAGAGUAGGGUUUCCGCAGCACCUUCUGGGUGCUGUCACUGUCUUAAAGAAACUGGUGCAGUUAAAAAUAUUCGUCGGUGAUGUAACUUCCUGGCCCUGAGCUACCAGUGGAAGCAGGUCUCUCUGGAUGGCCUGUUACUACCACAAGCUCUGCUUUGCCAGAAAUGUGACUUCUUGGUGAUUAAGUUGGUCCCGACCUGCCAAUCUAAAGUGAACUCCUAUUUGGCCAUCUGCUGGAGCGCCAGUGAUCAAGAGGAGACCAGAUGAGUUUUCAAAGCAGUCCUCAGACACCCAGGACCCACCUCAUCCUUUGCCUCGUGCUUUCUGCAAUGUUGCCGCUUACAUUCACUUUCCUCUUAACCCUUCGCCAUAAUUACCCCGUCCUGAUCACCAUUCUUCUUCCAUUCACGACCCACCCCGCUUUCUCCCGGGCUCCCAUUCCAUGGGCAGCGGCUUUGCUCACUGUUUGGCAAGUUCCCUGCUGAGUUAUAUUCAGAUGGCUCACGUUAGUUUCCCCUCUCUCCUAUCCCCGCUUCAUGCCCAGCAGCCCAGCCGUCAGUCCCUAGGUCAGGAAAGCCACAGCCCAUCCUAAUUGAAGGUGCAAGACUCUCUGCCAGAGCAGUCACACUCAGUGAAGGUACUCAAGGUAUCGGGGUGUGACGUAGUUAAAACUAGAAGGAAAGACCAGAAAUCCCUUCAUCUCAGUCAGAUAUAGUGAAAGAGCUUAUAGUGAAAGACUGUGUGGACUGACUGAGAACGUGGAGGUAGGAAGAAGAGAAGGAGAAAGGUUCUCAGAAUUGGACUGCCCCUGAACAUAGGAUGGAAUCAUCUAGACUUUUUUUCCCCCCUCCAAUUAAAUUUGCAUUUCAUUUUA